GAGCUUGGAGUAGAAUUAGAGGGUGAAGGUGUUGGUUGAGAACUGGGUGGUGUACGCUUAGAGGGAGAUGUCGGGGCAGGAGAUAUUGAAGAUGGCGGAGGAGGGGAAUUUGGUGGUUCUGUUGGCGGAGUUUGUGAUGGUGGCGGCGGUGGAUUUGGUGGUGGAGAUCGUGAUGGUGGUGGCGUUGAAAGGGGAGGUUGUGAUGGUGGUGGCGUUGAAAGGGGAGGUUGUGAUGAUGGUGGCGGUGAACUAACAGGUGGUGGCAAUCGCGGCGGCGGUGCUGGCGGUGGUGGUGAAGGAACAGGCGGUUGAGUAGAUGGUGUUGGUGGAGGUGGUGAUGGAGUUUGUGGAGGUGGAGGUGAUGGCCUGGGUGCAGAUGGUGGAGGACUAGGUGGCGGGCUUGAUGGUGGUGGCGAAGGCGGUGGAGAAGUGGAAGUGGAAGGAGGGGAAGUGGGUGAAAUAGGUGGGGGAGGAGGGGAGGCCUGCAGGGGUGGAGGUGAAGAUUCAGCAGGGGAUGGUGGUGACAAGGUGAGUGGAGGUGGAGCUGUAGAAACAUCCGGAGGUGGAGAUUGAGAUUGAGAGGGUGGCGGAAUAGCAUUAGCCGGAGGAGGAGUGCUUGGUGGUGGACUGGUAGCAGAAGCUGGCGACGGAGCUGGAGGAGAAGAUUGUGGAGGUG
rnacentral:lncRNA from 1 species